AGCCGGCGGAGCGAGGCGGCGAUGGAGCGGGCCGUGGUGCGCUGCGUGCCGUCGGAGGCGAAGCUGAGCCUGUCGUUCUCGCUGGCGGACGGGCGGCAGAAGCAGAUGCAGCGGAGCCAGAGCGAGCCGCUGGGCCGGGCGCUGGGCCGCAUCGCCAUCGACGCGCUCAAGGGCCACGCCAAGGCGGCGGCCGCCAAGAAGGGCAAGAAGCCGCGGCCCGACGGCGGCGGGGGCAUCCUCGGCGCGGAGGAGGGGCCGGGCUCGGCGGCGGCGGCGGACGCGGCCUCGGCCGGGGGCCCGCUGGUGCGGCUCUACUACCGGGAGGAGGCGGUGGGCGACGACGUGCUGAACGCGGACGCCUGGCAGGACGGCGCGGUCCUGCAGAUCGGCGACGUGAAGUACAAGGUGGAGCGCAACCCGCCCGCCUUCACCGACCUGCAGCUGCCGCGCUACCUGAUGGCCGGCUUCCCCGUCUGCCCCAAGCUGGGGCUGGAGUUCGCCGAGCCCGCCGCCUCGCUGUUCCGCUGGUUCAAGGAGGCCGGGCCGGGGGCCGCGGGCGGGGGCGACGGCGGGAGCGGGGCCGCUAACGCCGCCUCCUCCACGGAGCCCUCCUCGUCCUCCUCCUCCUCGUCCUCUUCGACCUCCUCCUCCUCCUCCUCGUCGUCGUCGUCGUCGUCGUCGGCCGGCCCCGGCUGGGUGGAGGCCGGGGUGUCGGAGCUCGUGUACACCCCGUCCAACGCGGACGUGGGGCUGCGGCUGAAACUGCGCUGCACCCCGGGCAACGGGCAGCGCUUCGGGCCCAGCCGCGAGCUGGAGAGCCACAGCCCCGUGGAGGCCGGGCCCGGCACCUGCACCUUCGACCAGAGGCACCUGUACACCAAGAAGGUGGCCGGCGACGCCCUCAUCCGCACCGUCUCCUACAACAUCCUGGCCGACACCUACGCGCAAACCGAACUGUCCCGCACCGUCCUCUACCCGUACUGUGCCCCCUACGCGCUGGAGCUCGACUACCGCCAGAACCUCAUCCAGAAGGAGCUCACCGGCUACAGCGCCGACCUCAUCUGCCUGCAGGAGGUGGACCGGCCCGUCUUCUCCGACAGCCUGGUGCCCGCCCUGGAGGCCUUCGGCCUGGAGGGCCUCUUCAAGAUCAAGGAGAAGCAGCACGAGGGCCUGGCCACCUUCUACCGCAAGGCCAAGUUCAGCCUCCUCGGCCGGCACGACAUCGCCAUCAACCAGGCCCUGCUGUCCGACCCUCUGCACAGGGACCUGCUGGAGAAGCUCUCCCCGUACCCGCUGGUGCGGGAAAAAGUGCUCCAGAGGUCCUCCGUCCUGCAGGUCUCCAUCUUGCAGUCGACCAAGGACUCUUCAAAAAAGAUCUGCGUGGCCAACACCCACCUGUACUGGCACCCGAAAGGCGGGAACAUCCGUCUCAUUCAGGUGGCCGUAGCCCUGUCUCACAUCAAGUAUGUGACGUGCGACCUGUACCCGGGCGUGCCCGUGGUAUUCUGUGGGGAUUUCAAUAGUACUCCGUCGACGGGCACGUACAGUUUCGUCAACAGCGGCGGUAUCGCGGAGGACCACGAAGACUGGGCUUCGAACGGCGAAGAGGAGCGGUGCAACAUGGCCCUGACCCACCCCUUCAAACUGAAGAGCGCGUGCGGCGAGCCCGCCUACACCAAUUACGUCGGCGGGUUUCACGGGUGCCUGGAUUACGUCUUCAUCGACUCGGAUGCUUUAGAGGUCGAGCAGGUGAUUCCCCUGCCGACCCACGAAGAGGUCACCACCCAUCAGGCCUUGCCGAGUGUUUCGCAUCCCUCUGACCACAUAGCCUUGAUAUGUGAUUUGAAGUGGAAGUAGACUCCGUUUUGUCCGGCGCCGGUUGGGAAGCUUGAAAUGAGGGGGCCGCUUUUACCUUAGCGCAGCUGUAAAGUACGGGAAUGGCCCGUGAUACAACCAUCCUGGGAGAUACGACCGGUAUUGUUUGAUGCCCUAGACAUGCCGGCCGAGUGCUACAGGUGAGUAAAUUCUCCCCCCAGCCCUGACUUCCCCCUGGCCCCCUUCUCUGCUACCCCUAGUUUGUGUCAUAUAUCAAGGCAUUGAUGAGGUCCCUGAGCAGAUAAGCCAAAGGAAUUGCUGAACUUUGGAAAUGGACAGUGUGGAUGUCAAUGAGUUAACCACAUCUCCCUCAUGGGAGUCAUGCAAUGAGGAUCUCAUCAAACUUCAACAAUCCUUUGCAUCGUUGCAAGAUGCCAAAAAAGAAGCAGCAGCUAUGGUUUUUCCACUACUGGCUAAAUAACUUCUUGGGGUUAGAAAGUUUUGCAAUAGUUUUUGAGGGGGAGUGUGAAUUUACACAUUUGACUGAAACAACAGCUGUAGUGGAGGGGGCGGGGGAGUUACAAGAUGCGCAGGUGUUCAGGAGUUUCCCCUGCUACAAGGUGCUUUACAAAGAGAAAAGGUGGCUGCUAUUCAACCUAAGUUUGACAGAGUUUUCAGUAAAAUUGAAAAUCCCCUGCCCCAGUCAGCAGGACAAGCUUCUACUUCUUCAGCCUCCUACAUAGUCAUAAUCAUAAUUCCACUCCUCAUUUAGUAUUGUGAUGUUUGUUUUACUUGGAAUUUAAUAAAGAUGAAACAGGAGUUU